AACGAACGCUGGCGGCAGGCCUAACACAUGCAAGUCGAGCGAGGACUUCGGUCCUAGCGGCGGACGGGGGAGUAACGCGUGGGAACGUGCCCUUUUCUUCGGAAUAGCCCUGGGAAACUGGGAGUAAUACCGGAUGAGCCCUUUGGGGGAAAGAUCUAUCGGCGAAGGAUCGGCCCGCGUUGGAUUAGGUAGUUGGUGGGGUAAUGGCCUACCAAGCCGACGAUCCAUAGCUGGUUGGAGAGGAUGAGCAGCCACGCUGGGACUGAGACACGGCCCAGACUCCUACGGGAGGCAGCAGUGGGGAAUCUUAGACGAUGGGGGAAACCCUGAUCUAGCCAUGCCGGGUGAGCGAUGAAGGCCUUAGGGUUGUAAAGCUCUUUCAGCUGGGAAGAUAAUGACGGUACCAGCAGAAGAAGCCCCGGCUAACUACGUG
rnacentral:rRNA from 1 species